rnacentral:rRNA from 1 species
ACGUAGGGGGCGAGCGUUGUCCGGAUUUAUUGGGCGUAAAGCGCACGCAGGCGGUGCGGUAAGUUUGGGGUGACAGCGGCCGGCUUAACCGGUCGAGUGUCCCAAAGACUGCCGCACUUGAGGGCCAAAGAGGAACACAGAAUUCCGGGUGUAGUGGUGAAAUGCGUAGAUAUCCGGAGGAAUACCAAAGGCGAAGGCAGUGUUCUGGGUGGCUCCUGACGCUCAGGUGCGAAAGCUAGGGGAGCGAACGGGAUUAGAUACCCCGGUAGUCCUAGCCGUAAACGAUGACCACUAGGUGUGCGGGGUAUCGACCCCCUGCGUGCCGUCGUUAACACAAUAAGUGGUCCGCCUGGGGAGUACGGUCGCAAGAUUA